AUGGAGUUCUGCAUUAAUUGCGUUGGAUUAUUUCCAAAAGGUUUUGGAUCAAAAUCAAGCCAAAUGUUGAUUCUUGAUCUUAUUGAUAGUAAGGACUUGAAAGUGCAAAUUCAUUUGAAGGAAAAAGAGCUCUUGCCUUACAUCGCUUUAGUUAAGCAAAGUUCAAGUGAAAUGGUGAUUUGGGAACUUGAAGAUCAUCGACAAGAAAUGGCAAGUUAUAAUAUCACCAUUCAAGUUCAUUAUUAA